AGAGUUUGAUCAUGGCUCAGGACGAACGCUGGCGGCGUGCCUAACACAUGCAAGUCGAGCGGAGGUAGUCUGAUGGUAACUGAUGACUAUCUUAGUGGCGGACGGGUGAGUAACACGUGGGCAACCUGCCUCAGAGUGGGGGAUAACACCGAGAAAUCGGUGCUAAUACCGCAUAACGUACGGAUUUCGCAUGAUAACCGUACCAAAGGAGUAAUCCGCUUUGAGAUGGGCCCGCGGCUGAUUAGCUAGUUGGUGAGGUAAUGGCUCACCAAGGCAACGAUCAGUAACCGACCUGAGAGGGUGACCGGCCACACUGGAACUGAGACACGGUCCAGACUCCUACGGGAGGCAGCAGUGGGGAAUAUUGCGCAAUGGGGGAAACCCUGACGCAGCAACGCCGCGUGGAGGAAGAAGGUCUUCGGAUUGUAAACUCCUGUCUUCUGGGACGAUAAUGACGGUACCAGAGGAGGAAGCCACGGCUAACUACGUGCCAGCAGCCGCGGUAAUACGUAGGUGGCGAGCGUUGUCCGGAAUUACUGGGCGUAAAGGGCGCGUAGGCGGCUCUUUAAGUCAGAUGUGAAAACCCAGGGCUUAACUUUGGGACUGCAUUUGAAACUGAAGGGCUUGAGUGCAGGAGAGGUAAGUGGAAUUCCUAGUGUAGCGGUGAAAUGCGUAGAUAUUAGGAGGAACACCAGUGGCGAAGGCGACUUACUGGACUGUAACUGACGCUGAGGCGCGAAAGCGUGGGGAGCAAACAGGAUUAGAUACCCUGGUAGUCCACGCUGUAAACGAUGGAUACUAGGUGUGGGAGGUAUCGACCCCUUCCGUGCCGCAGUAAACGCAAUAAGUAUCCCGCCUGGGGAGUACGGCCGCAAGGUUGAAACUCAAAUGAAUUGACGG
rnacentral:rRNA from 1 species